AUUGAACGCUGGCGGCAUGCCUUACACAUGCAAGUCGAACGGCAGCAUGGAGAGCUUGCUCUCUGAUGGCGAGUGGCGAACGGGUGAGUAAUGCAUCGGAACGUACCGUGUAAUGGGGGAUAACGUAGCGAAAGUUACGCUAAUACCGCAUACGACCUGAGGGUGAAAGCAGGGGAUCGCAAGUCCUUGCGUUAUACGACGCGCCGAUGUCAGAUUAGCUAGUUGGUGAGGUAAAGGCUCACCAAGGCGACGAUCUGUAGCGGGUCUGAGAGGAUGAUCCGCCACACUGGGACUGAGACACGGCCCAGACUCCUACGGGAGGCAGCAGUGGGGAAUUUUGGACAAUGGGGGCAACCCUGAUCCAGCCAUGCCGCGUGAGUGAAGAAGGCCUUCGGGUUGUAAAGCUAUUUCGGCCGGGAAGAAAUCGCACAGGCUAAUACUCUGUGUGGAUGACGGUACCGGCAUAAGAAGCACCGGCUAACUACGUGCCAGCCGCCGCAGUAA
rnacentral:rRNA from 1 species